rnacentral:rRNA from 1 species
AGAUUGAACGCUGGCGGAAUGCUUUACACAUGCAAGUCGAGCGGCAGCGCGGGGGCAACCCUGGCGGCGAGCGGCGAACGGGUGAGUAAUACAUCGGAACAUGUCCAGUUGUGGGGGAUAGCCCGGCGAAAGCCGGAUUAAUACCGCAUGAGCUCGAGAGAGGAAAGCGGGGGACCGUAAGGCCUCGCGCGACUGGGGUUGCCGAUGUCCGAUUAGCUAGGUUGGUAGGGGUAAACGCCUACCAAGGCGAUGAUCGGUAGCUGGUCUGAGAGGAUGAUCAGCCACACUGGGACUGAGACACGCCAGACCUCCGACGGGAGGCAGCAGGUGGGUAAUUUGACGAGU